rnacentral:lncRNA from 1 species
AAAUGAAGAGGUUGAUAAUAUAUAGGCAAUGACAGAUUGAUUCUUCAGUCUCUUUGAAGAAGGAAGCUGGCUACAGACUUGUUUAUACCUGAACAGAGUUGGAAUUGCUGUUUCAUAGACUAAAUCCAGUUGAAACUUGAAACGAAUGCCUCACAGUUAAAGAUAACAUCAAUUCAUAAAUUGGUAGCGUGUGGCAGUGGCACAUCCCAGAUCUUUCAGUUAAAGAUAACAUCAGUUCAUAAAUUGGUGGCCUGUGGCAGUGGCACAUGCCAGAUCUUUCAGUCCCAGUAUAAAAUCAAAAAGCUUUGGCGAACACUACUAUAGAUUGAUCAUAGGCCUCGAAACGACAGAGACUUGAGUACAUGUGAUGGCUGUGGCAUUUACUAACCUGUGGCUUACGUUAAGCCACUUACUGAACUUGAGCCAAUUCCUUCAUAAGAAAAGAAAAUAAGGACAUUGUUAAGUAUUUCGUAAGAAUUACAGAAAUUAUACUUAAGAACCUAAAACAUCAAAGUUCUACUGUAAGUGCAGUUUUAUAUAAAGCUAACAUGCCAUUACAUUUAAUAACAGAUAAAAUGGAAUUGUGUUUAAAAAGUGGUGUUAUUGACAUAGAGGACCACUUUUCAUUUUCUACUGUCCACAGAGUCAUCCUAAGAGCCCCCUAUGUGGCUAGAGAGUUCUUAAGGAGGAAUCAGUAUAAGCAGAUGAUUGGCAGGGCUGGGCGUGCUGGAAUUGACACUGUUGGAGAGAGCAUUCUUGUACUUCAAGAAAAAGACAAGCAGCAGGUUCUGGAACUGAUAAAUGGACCCCUGGAAAAUUGCUACAGCCAUCUUAUUGAGGAAUUCAGCAAGGGAAUCCAGAGUUUGUUUCUGUCUUUAAUUGGUUUGAAGGUAUUUUUAAAGAGGUCUUCUUAAAUGUGACAACUACUACCUGACAUAAUAUAAGUUUUUAAAAAUUCAGGCAA